GAUGAACGCUGGCGGCGUGCCUAACACAUGCAAGUCGAGCGGCAGCGAGGGGUGCUUGCACCCUGUCGGCGAGCGGCGGACGGCUGAGUAGCGCGUGGGAACGUGCCCCAAAGUGAGGAAUAACUGCCCGAAAGGGUAGCUAAUACCGCAUAUUAUCUUCGGAUCAAAGGAUUUAUCCGCUUUGGGAGCGGCUCGCGUCGGAUUAGGUAGUUGGUGAGGUAAUGGCUCACCAAGCCGACGAUCCGUAGCUGGUCUGAGAGGAUGACCAGCCAGACUGGAACUGAGACACGGUCCAGACUCCUACGGGAGGCAGCAGUGAGGAAUCUUCCACAAUGGGCGAAAGCCUGAUGGAGCAACGCCGCGUGCAGGACGAAGGCCUUCGGGUUGUAAACUGCUUUUAUAAGUGAGGAAUAUGACGGUAACUUAUGAAUAAGGAUCGGCUAACUACGG
rnacentral:rRNA from 1 species